rnacentral:rRNA from 1 species
AUUGAACGCUGGCGGCAUGCCUAACACAUGCAAGUCGAGCGGUAACGCGAGGAGCUUGCUCCUUGGCGACGAGUGGCGGACGGGUGAGUAAUGCUUGGGAAUCUACCCAGUAGUGGGGGACAACAUUCGGAAACGGAUGCUAAUACCGCAUACGCACUACGGUGGAAAGCGGGGGAUCUUCGGACCUCGCGCUAUUGGAUGAGCCCAAGUCGGAUUAGCUUGUUGGUAGGGUAAUUGCCUACCAAGGCGACGAUCCGUAGCUGGUCUGAGAGGACGAUCAGCCACACUGGGACUGAGACACGGCCCAGACUCCUACGGGAGGCAGCAGUGGGGAAUAUUGGACAAUGGGCGCAAGCCUGAUCCAGCAAUGCCGCGUGUGUGAAGAAGGCCUGCGGGUUGUAAAGCACUUUCAGUAGAGAAGAAAAGCCUAGGGUUAAUACCCCUGAGUCUUGACGUAACCUACAGAAGAAGCACCGGCUAACUCCGUG